rnacentral:rRNA from 1 species
GACGGAGGAUGCAAGCGUUAUCCGGAAUGAUUGGGCGUAAAGCGUCCGCAGGUGGCAGUUCAAGUCUGCUGUCAAAGACCGGGGCUUAACUUCGGAAAGGCAGUGGAAACUGAACAGCUAGAGUAUGGUAGGGGCAGAGGGAAUUCCUGGUGUAGCGGUGGAAUGCGUAGAGAUCAGGAAGAACAUCGGUGGCGAAGGCGCUCUGCUGGACCAUAACUGACACUCAGGGACGAAAGCUAGGGGAGCGAAUGGG